rnacentral:rRNA from 1 species
CGAAAGUAAGACUAAUACCCAAUGACGUCUCUAGAAGACAUCUGAAAAGAGAUUAAAGAUUUAUCGGUGAUGGAUGGGGGAUGCGUCUGAUUAGCUUGUUGGCGGGGUAACGCCACCAAGGCGACGAUCAGUAGGGGUUCUGAGAGGAAGGUCCCCCACAUUGGAACUGAGACACGGUCCAAACUCCUACGGGAGGCAGCAGUGAGGAAUAUUGGUCAAUGGACGAGAGCCUGAACCAGCCAAGUAGCGUGAAGGAUGACUGCCCUAUGGGUUGUAAACUUCUUUUAUAAAGGAAUAAAGUCGGGUAUGGAUACCCGUUUGCAUGUACUUUAUGAAUAAGGAUCGGCUAACUCCGUG